rnacentral:rRNA from 1 species
CGUAUGGCGGAUGCCUAGGCUUUCAGAGGCGAUGAAGGACGCGAUAAGCUGCGAUAAGCUACGGGGAGGGGCACAUACCUUAUAAUCCGUAGAUUUCCGAAUGGGGCAACCCAGCAUGUUGAAGACAUGUUACCCGUAAGGGGGCAAACCCGGUGAACUGAAACAUCUAAGUAACCGGAGGAAGAGAAAACAAUAGUGAUUCCGUUAGUAGUGGCGAGCGAACGCGGAUUAGCCCAAACCAAUGUUGUUACGGCAAUAUUGGGGUUGUAGGGCUGCGACAUUAGAAUCUAAGUGAACUAGAAUUGUCUGGAAAGACAAACCGUAGAGAGUGAUAGUCUCGUAUAGGUAAGCGAAGAAGAUAUAGCAGUACCCUGAGUAGUGCGGGACACGAGUAAUCCUGUAUGAAUCCACCGGGACCAUCCGGUAAGGCUAAAUACUCCUGAAAGACCGAUAGUGAAC